rnacentral:rRNA from 1 species
UGGGGAAUAUUGCACAAUGGGGGAAACCCUGAUGCAGCGACGCCGCGUGAACGAAGAAGGUAUUCGUAUCGUAAAGUUCUGUCCUAUGGGAAGAUAAUGACAGUACCAUAGAAGAAAGCUCCGGCUAAAUACGUGCCAGCAGCCGCGGUAAUACGUAUGGAGCGAGCGUUGUCCGGAAUUAUUGGGCAUAAAGGGUACGCAGGCGGUUUAAUAAGUCGAAUGUUAAAGAUCGGGGCUCAACCCCGCAAAGCAUUGGAAACUGAUAAACUUGAGUAGUGGAGAGGAAAGUGGAAUUCCUAGUGUAGUGGUGAAAUACGUAGAUAUUAGGAGGAAUACCAGUAGCGAAGGCGACUUUCUGGACACAAACUGACGCUGAGGUACGAAAGCGUGGGGAGCAAACAGG